CUCACUCUCUGCUCUGCCACACCCCUCAUUAGUUCAACCACUUUCACCUGGCGCUCCAACCUGCUCAUCAUCUCCAAUCAAGCCAGUAUAUAAGCUGCCUCGGCCCACUCCCUUUUUGUCAGAUUGUCUAUGCUACAAUGCUAAGUCAUCUUGCCUUCAUCUCUGGACUGCCUUCCUGGUUCCUGAUCAGCUUGUCUCCGACCAUCGCUCUUUGUCUCUGCCCCGUCUGGCAUGGUGCCAUUAUGCACGCCCCUCCACCUCCCCAUCUCCACCGGGUCUCCACGGGAUCGCUGGUACCAUCACUUCAACAGCUAUCAGCCUCAUCUGAAGUCAUCACCACCACUAAUGUCUGGACUCCAUGGGGAGAUCUAUCUCAUGGCUGCUCAGGGAUGAUGUCGUUGUGGAAUCCAAGUGUAUAUCAUUUCUAUCUGUACAAUAAACAUUAUCUUUGCUCAUUCAA